GCACCCACUCAUGACUAAAAUAAUAUAUAUUUUGAGCAUUUAUUUGCUUAAAAAAAUUAUUCACUCUUUUAAAAUUUGAACACUCUUGACAAAAUUUUUAACUCCGCCACUGAAUAAGUGUGCUUGAAGUAUUAGGCAUAAUUCGAGGAUAAAAAUAAUAAUUAGUAGGAGUAGUAAGUAUCUAUUUGACCAUGAAAAAUUAUAUAUUCACUUUAUUUGUUAUUUUGAAAUUAAAAAUAUAAUUGGAAUUGUGUUACGCCAUACUAUUUUAGAAAUGGGGUACUAAGCCAACCACCGUCGGCGGCCGCAGCAGAGGCAGCGGUAGGAGGAGUUUUCCGGCGACUAUACCAUGAAAGAGUAAUAGACCAUUACAAUAAACCUCGUAACGAUGGAUCGUUUGACAAAAACGAUCCAACGGUAGGUACGGGUCUCGUCGGAGCUCCGGCAUGUGGUGAUGUGAUGAAACUACAAAUCAAAGUUGAUGAAAAGACGGGGAAAAUUAUGGAUGCUUGUUUUAAGAAUUUUGGUUGUGGUUCUGCUAUUGCAUCAUCAUCCCUUGGGAGAUAGCAAAACAUCUGUCCCUUCCACCUCAAAAGAUUCACUGCAGUAUGCUUGCUGAGGAUGCUAUUAGGGCUGCUAAGAAGGAUUACGAGGCGAAGAAGGCAAAGUUUAAUGACAACGCAGAAAAUGCACCACCGGAAAAAACAGUUUGAUAUAUUAGUUGAGAAAUAAAGAUCAAGGGUGUAUGUAGAGGUGGCAAAUGGUCGGAGAAGAGCUGAAUUUGAGCGGGUCAAGGUAGACUGAGUAAAUUAAAGAGCGGAUUUAUUGACCGGUUCCAACAUUACUUGGGCUUAAAUGUGCUGAAAUGUUGUCGCUCAAUUCUUAUUAAGUUUUAAGUGUUUUAUAGUUUUUUAGUACCUAAUAUAAUUAUUUUUUUUCUUUACUAUAAUAUACAAAGGGUUUUAUAAAGCUUUUGUCUAAAUUCAUAUUCA